rnacentral:tRNA from 2 species
UGGGCCUUAGCUCAGCUGGGAGAGCGCAACACUGGCAGUGUUGAGGUCAGCGGUUCGAUCCCGCUAGGCUCCACCA